GACGAACGCUGGCGGCGUGCCUAAUACAUGCAAGUUGAGCGCUGAAGGUUGGUACUUGUACCGACUGGAUGAGCAGCGAACGGGUGAGUAACGCGUGGGGAAUCUGCCUUUGAGCGGGGGACAACAUUUGGAAACGAAUGCUAAUACCGCAUAAAAACUUUAAACACAAGUUUUAAGUUUGAAAGAUGCAAUUGCAUCACUCAAAGAUGAUCCCGCGUUGUAUUAGCUAGUUGGUGAGGUAAAGGCUCACCAAGGCGAUGAUACAUAGCCGACCUGAGAGGGUGAGCGGCCACAUUGGGACGGAGACACGGCCCAAACGCCUACGGGAGGCAGCAGUAGGGAAUCUUCGGCAAGGGACGAAAGUCUGACCGAGCAACGCCGCGGGAGUGAAGAAGGUUGUCGGGUCGUAAAACUCUGUUGGUAGAGAAGAACGUUGGUGAGAGUGGAAAGCUCAUCAAGUGACGGUAACUACCCAGAAAGGGACGGCUAACUACGUG
rnacentral:rRNA from 1 species